rnacentral:rRNA from 1 species
CCUACGGGUGGCAGCAGUGAGGAAUAUUGGUCAAUGGUCGGGAGCCUGAACCAGCCAAGCCGCGUGAGGGAGGAAGGUACAGAGUAUCGUAAACCUCUUUUGUCAGGGAACAAAGGCGGGGACGUGACCACGGAUGAGUGUACCUGAAGAAAAAGCAUCGGCUAACUACGUGCCAGCAGCCGCUGUAAUACGGAGGAUGCGAGCGUUAUCCGGAUUUAUUGGGUUUAACGGAGGCGCAGGGGGUCUGUUAAGUCAGCGGUCAAAGCCCGGGGCUCAACCCCGCCCCGCCGUUGAACCUGGCAGUGUAGAGGUGGAGAGAAGUAUGCGGAAGGCGCGGUGUAGCGGUGAAAUGCUUAGAUAUCGCGCAGAACUCCGAGUGCGAAGGCAGCAUGCCGGCUCCACACUGACGCUGAGGCACGAAAGCGUGGGUAUCGAACAGGAUUAAAUACCCGUGUAGUC